GCUGGGGAUAUAGCUCAGUUGGUAGAGUGCUUGCCUUGCAUGCACAAGGCCAUGGGUUCAAUCCCCAACACAACA
rnacentral:tRNA from 1 species